rnacentral:siRNA from 1 species
UGGUGUUGCAGUUGCUUCGUUG